GGCGUGGAGGCGGAGGCGGCCGCCGCACAUUGCACGCUGCGACGUCCCGGGCCCCUGGGAGGAUUGAAACCUGACACCUCAACUGCAGAGCAGAGGACCUGCCACAUCCUUGGCAUGGUGAUGUUCCCAGGCCAGGGACUGAAUCUGCGCUGCAGCUGUGACCUAUGCCCGGCUCUGGCAAGGCCAGAGCCUCAAACCACUGAGCCAGGCUGGGGCUCGAACCUGUGCUGCCUCAGAGACAACAGUGGAUCCUGAAACCAGUGCACCACAGCAAGAACUCUGAGAAAUUGGAUUAUUAAUCUUAAUGUCAACAUAAGUUUAUAAGUUGCUGUAAACUGCAAGGAACAGAAACAGGACUCAUGACUACUUAAACAGUAAGAAACUGUAUUGGCUCAUAGAACAGGAAGAGCAGAUGUAGUGCUGGCUUCAGGUAAGGUUUCAUCAGGGUUCCGUCAAGUCACCAGCCAAGGUCAUGCAUAUAAUGAGGGGGAGGGCCAAGAUUUAAACUCAGCUGACUCCAAAGGCCUUGUUCUUUGUACUACAUGAUGUUGGUGUCAUUUGUUUGCUUUCCUAGAUUGCAGCUUUUCUGUUCCUUCCAGUUUGAGGGUGCUUCUUCUUUUGAUCACAGCAGAGACAUGAAGAACCUGAACCUCAGUGAGUCCAGACACAGGAGAAAAGGUUAAGGAACUAUAACCUCGAAGACAACCAGAAACCAUCACUGGACUGACUGAUGCCAGAUUUGAUGACUCUGGAAUGAUUUAUGGAUGAAGAAUAAUAUAGGCACCUUAAUCAAUAACGCUGUCUUCAACAACCUAAGUCCAUUGACAGAUGAAUGGAUUAAGAAAAUGUGGUACAUAUACACAAUGGAAUACUACUCAGCCAUUAAACAGAACAAAAUAAUGCCAUUUGCAGCA